rnacentral:rRNA from 2 species
GAUGAACGCUGGCGGCGUGCCUAAUACAUGCAAGUCGAGCGAACAGAUGAGAAGCUUGCUUCUCUGAUGUUAGCGGCGGACGGGUGAGUAACACGUGGGUAACCUACCUAUAAGACUGGGAUAACUCCGGGAAACCGGGGCUAAUACCGGAUAAUAUAUUGAACCGCAUGGUUCAAUGUUGAAAGACGGUUUCGGCUGUCACUUAUAGAUGGACCCGCGCCGUAUUAGCUAGUUGGUAAGGUAACGGCUUACCAAGGCAACGAUACGUAGCCGACCUGAGAGGGUGAUCGGCCACACUGGAACUGAGACACGGUCCAGACUCCUACGGGAGGCAGCAGUAGGGAAUCUUCCGCAAUGGGCGAAAGCCUGACGGAGCAACGCCGCGUGAGUGAUGAAGGUCUUAGGAUCGUAAAACUCUGUUGUUAGGGAAGAACAAAUUUGUUAGUAACUGAACAAGUCUUGACGGUACCUAACCAGAAAGCCACGGCUAACUACGU